CGGGGGAUGCCCAGGGUCGGGGGAUGCCCAGGGUCGGGGGAUGCCCCCAUUCGGUGGAAGCCACGCGGGGUUGCAGACAAGCCGGGUCAGCCGUAUAUUUAUUGAGAAUGUUUGUGGAGGGAUAAAAAUAUUUCCACUACUCUAUAAGAAUUUAUAAACCUAUACUCUCUGAUCUGUUAAUAAACGCCUCUAGGACCGUCAUGCCAGGGGAGGGGCUUCCGUAAGAAAAUAGCGAGAUUAAAAAAAGGAAAGCGCUCAGUGUUCCCUGCAGGGCCCUGCCCCGGGGCGCCCUGCCCACGGGGGCCACGGCACCCCCUGCUGGCACGGGGACAUGGGGGGCGCAGGCCAGUGCUGCCCUGGCACCCUGCAGCCCCCACCCCGAGCCCUGGCUGGGCACAGCCCCCGCCAGCCACACCCCACCUGGGGCACCCCGACUUGGGGGCCCUGAUGGGGACAGGACACAUCCCCACAGCAGUGAGCUCCCAGUGAUCCCACUGCUCCCAGUGAUCCCACUGAUCUUACUGCUCCCAGUGAUCCCACUGCUCCCAGUGAUCCCACUGAUCUUACUGCUCCCAGUGAUCCCACUGCUCCCAGUGAUCCCACUGAUCUUACUGCUCCCAGUGAUCCCACUGCUCCCAGUGAUCCCACUGAUCUUACUGCUCCCACUGAUCCCACUGAUCUUACUGCUCCCAGUGACCCCACUGCUCCCAGUGAUCCCACUGAUCUUACUGCUCCCAGUGAUCCCACUGCUCCCAGUGAUCUUACUGCUCCCAGUGAUCCCACUGCUCCCAGUGAUCCCACUGAUCUUACUGCUCCC
rnacentral:lncRNA from 1 species